AUUGAACGCUGGCGGCAGGCCUAACACAUGCAAGUCGAGCGGAUGAAGGGAGCUUGCUCCUGGAUUCAGCGGCGGACGGGUGAGUAAUGCCUAGGAAUCUGCCUGGUAGUGGGGGAUAACGUCCGGAAACGGGCGCUAAUACCGCAUACGUCCUGAGGGAGAAAGUGGGGGAUCUUCGGACCUCACGCUAUCAGAUGAGCCUAGGUCGGAUUAGCUAGUUGGUGGGGUAAAGGCUUACCAAGGCGACGAUCCGUAACUGGUCUGAGAGGAUGAUCAGUCACACUGGAACUGAGACACGGUCCAGACUCCUACGGGAGGCAGCAGUGGGGAAUAUUGGACAAUGGGCGAAAGCCUGAUCCAGCCAUGCCGCGUGUGUGAAGAAGGUCUUCGGAUUGUAAAGCACUUUAAGUUGGGAGGAAGGGCAGUAAGUUAAUACCUUGCUGUUUUGACGUUACCAACAGAAUAAGCACCGGCUGACUUCGUG
rnacentral:rRNA from 1 species